rnacentral:rRNA from 1 species
GCACCUUCGGGUGUGACUGCGUACCUUUUGUAUAAUGGGUCAGCGACUUAUAUUCUGUAGCAAGGUUAACCGUAUAGGGGAGCCGCAGGGAAACCGAGUCUUAACUGGGCGUUAAGUUGCAGGGUAUAGACCCGAAACCCGGUGAUCUAGCCAUGGGCAGGUUGAAGGUUGGGUAACACUAACUGGAGGACCGAACCGACUAAUGUUGAAAAAUUAGCGGAUGACUUGUGGCUGGGGGUGAAAGGCCAAUCAAACCGGGAGAUAGCUGGUUCUCCCCGAAAGCUAUUUAGGUAGCGCCUCGUGAACUCAUCUUCGGGGGUAGAGCACUGUUUCGGCUAGGGGGUCAUCCCGACUUACCAACCCGAUGCAAACUACGAAUACCGAAGAAUGUUAUCACGGGAGACACACGGCGGGUGCUAACGUCCGUCGUGAAGAGGGAAACAACCCAGACCGCCAGCUAAGGUCCCAAAGUCAUGGUUAAGUGGGAAACGAUGUGGGAAGGCACAGACAGCCAGGAUGUUGGCUUAGAAGCAGCCAUCAUUUAAAGAAAGCGUAAUAGCUCACUGGUCGAGUCGGCCUGCGCGGAAGAUGUAACGGGGCUAAACCAUGCACCGAAGCUGCGGCAGCGACACUAUGUGUUGUUGGGUAGGGGAGCGUUCUGUAAGCCUGCGAAGGUGUGCUGUGAGGCAUGCUGGAGGUAUCAGAAGUGCGAAUGCUGACAUAAGUAACGAUAAAGCGGGUGAAAAGCCCGCUCGCCGGAAGACCAAGGGUUCCUGUCCAACGUUAAUCGGGGCAGGGUGAGUCGACCCCUAAGGCGAGGCCGAAAGGCGUAGUCGAUGGGAAACAGGUUAAUAUUCCUGUACUUGGUGUUACUGCGAAGGGGGGACGGAGAAGGCUAUGUUAGCCGGGCGACGGUUGUC